AGGUCGUGAUGUGGACAAUUGAGUAAUAAAUCCUUGUAUCUCUCUAAUGCCUCAUAUAAUGAUUCACCCUCAAAUUUUUGUGAAGGUAGUGAUAUUAUUCCUUAACUU